rnacentral:rRNA from 1 species
AUGGGCCUGUGGAAGAGAGGAGGGCCAGGUCCGAAUGCCCCCCUUUCCUUCUCUCCCUCCUUUCUAAGGGGGGAAACCUACUCCGGAGUAGGACUCCCCCCCUUGGGUAUAUUAUAUCUCAGUCCUGAAGAUAUGCAAGAGGCAAAGAAAUCUACGAAGGAAAAGGGUAUGAAAGCUGAGGAUGUUAAAAAUUUACCUCCUAUUGAAGAAAUACAUGGGCUUAAUACACCACCACUGCCUAAGGUGGUAGAGGUAAAUUCUCUUAUGAAGUUCAAUGAAAAUGAUAAUCCUCACAAUAUGCAUCCUAGCCAAUGCCUUUAUGAGUUUGAAAACUAUAUUAGAAAACAAGACCACUUCAAUGCAAGUGUUAUGAAACAGUUGAAAUAUAAUUCUGAUAUGAUUGCUCACUUGAGUGACUUGUUAUUUAGAAUAUCAAAUGACGUUAGAGGUGUUGGAAAACAUGCUUCUAUGGUUCAAACUCAGCUAGAACAAGUUGCUAAAUCACAAAGAGAAUUACUUGAUGAAAUGAAUCAUAAUAUGCAUGACUUUGUUGUUAGAGUUGCAACUAGAGGAGGUAAAAUGACUCAGGAACCACUUUAUCCUGAGGGAUACCCAAAAAGAAUAGAACAAGAUUCACAAAGAAACAACACUAGUGCACCUAGUCCU